GGGUUCUGUCACGCCCUGGUCUAAGUAUUUUGUGUUUUUUCUUCAUGUAUUGGGUCAGGCCAGGGUGUGGCAUGGAGUUUUUGUAUUGUGGUGUGUUUUGUCUUGGGGUUUUGGUGUGUAUAUAUUUGGGAUUGUAGUGGAGUGAUUCUCAAUCAGAGGCAGGUGCUUAUCGUUGUCUCUGAUUGGGAACCAUAUUUAGGCAGCCAUAUUCUUUGAGUUUGUCGUGGGUGAUUGUCCUAUUUGUCUUGAUGUCCUUGUUUAUGUUAGUUGACACAAGUAUAGGCUGCUUUCGGUUUUCGUUUCGUUUAUUUGUUUUUGUAGUGUUCGUGUUUAGUUCGUGUUUUACGUUUGUCUAAUAAACAUGGAUCGCAAUCGACACGAUGCAGUUUGGUCUAACUCUCCUUCAUCACCACUAGAAAGCCGUAACAGUAAAAUUAGUUAGAAGAAAAGCAAAAUGUAACAUAUUGGUGUUAUCAAUAUCUGAGGGCAAGAUACAGAAACUAUGUGUUCUGUGCAUGGCUAAAACCUUUAUCGCAUCAGGAAAAGUAAGGGGAUUUUAGUUUUGUUAGACAUUCUAUACCGUCAUUCUCUGAAACUGAGAUGCUUAUAGAAUGAAAUCAAUAUAUGUGUAAUACUAUUGGCUUGCUGAUUUAAAAAGGAACAUUGUGAAUGUUAACGAAAUGUACAUUUCUUUUCCAGAAAAAAAAGGUUACAUUUUCUCUGGUCAAAAUGUAAUUGGAGACUGUGGUACUGAGGAACGCAGUUAGAGAUAUUCAGCCACUUUAAAAGGCUUAGUAUCUGGAUAAGGCUAACAAUGGAGACUGUGGUACUGAGGAAAGCAGAUAGAGAUAUUCAGCCACUUUAAAAGGCUUAGUAUCUGGAUAAGGCUAACAAUGGAGACUGUGGUACUGAGGAAAGCAGAUAGAGAUAUUCAGCCACUUUAAAAGGCUUAGUAUCUGGAUAAGGCUAUAACUGGAGUUCCGGAUAAGUGAGGCCAGUUCCUGUGUGUUCUUGGCCUAUGGUUCACUAGUAAACAACACACCUUAUACCGGGAAUUAAUAUGCGAUAGUGGAUUUAUUUUGGAAGGGUUUUUUCAAUUCAGUUUCAGAUUGGGUGGAAAUGUUUUUGAAAAUGUAUUUAAGUUGUUUCUAAAGAAAAGAGAGUGGAAACAUUUUAAUGGUGUCAAAUGCCCUGAACCCUAAGAAUUUCCUGUGAAGACUGAUCAACUUCACUAGAAAUUGUUGGAACAGGUGGGAUUUAAUUAUAAAAUGAUUGAGAAACACUAGUCUCUAUUCAAAGUGUACAAUCACUUUGAAAUUCUAUUAUUUCCUUGGGAAAAUGAUGAAGAUUUGUAAUCUUAAAUUGACUAGUUAUUCAAAUAGGUUUAUUUUUAUUUAACAUGGGUUCAUAGGAGAAAUUAUCAGUUCCCUGGGGUUAUGGUCUUUGGGUAAAUACACAAAUGUGCUUUGUUCAUUCUGCAUAUAAAAGGGAAAUAUAUGUUAACAAGGGAUGAGUUACUCCAAAUGGUUUAUUGGAGUGGGGGUCUCUGCGAGGGUUAUGUUGAUAACUACAUAAUCUGUAACUCGUCUGAGAGACCGCCAGUAGAAUAAAGGAGUUAUCAUGGAAUGUGACGUCAGAAUGCUUUAAUGCUUGGGAGAGAUUAUCACCACAACAAGUGUGUGUGAAACUCAAACCCACCCUACUGGCUGAAUAGUGAGGGGCAACUGUGUCUGAUGACCUGUGAACUGUAUCUACAAUAGACAUGCGGGAAUGAUAUGUGCUGGGAGAAGAAAGACUAAAGGGGAUUGGGGUAAUGACCUUUUAUUACCAGGCCACUCAUGACAGAAAAACAGAGGCAAAAGGGCGCAUUGUAAAGUAGAUAUUACUAGUACUAAAAGAUUUUAGUAUAAAUGUUAAUUAUUAAAGGGAUGAUGCAUUGAAUUGAGAAGGUCAAAUUUGAGUUAAAGUAAGCACUAAGGACUGUUAUCCUGAAUAUUGGGUUGGAACAAUUUAUAAACAACAUUUAGUUAUGAUUUGGAUAUAGGACUGUUUAAAUUUACUAGGCCUAGGGAAGCUCUGGAAACUAAUCCUGAGACAGGUUGAUUGACAGAACUUGCAGAAUAUUAGAUUAAAGGUUUUUGUUUCUUUUGUUAUACAAUGUCAUUGUUAUUGGAGUGAUACAUUGGAAUGAUAUUGUAAGUAAUUGAAUAAAAGGUAUAGUCUGUUGUGCAAUAACACCCAAGGAUGAAGAAGAAAGAGACCAACAUAACAUGUGCAUAGAACUAAACGGAUGGAUGUUUUCCCCAGGUUUAAUUACAUUACAAAUAGUGGUAAUUUAUUGCAAAUAUGCAGUUAUUAUAAUUUACUUUUCUAUUUUUUCUUGUUUGGUAAAUUUAUUUUUGUUUUGAGGAAAAUAAGUGUGUAUAUUGUUCCUGAGGAGGGACUGAUAUAAAUUGAGUAAAAAUUAUUUGAGAAUGUUUAAGUAUGUAUCAAACUAUGGAAGGAAAUUAGGAGUAGUGACUUAUGUGUUAUGGGUUAGAAAAACUGUAACUACAUUGGGGGCUCAUACAUGAAGGUUAUGGUAGCGGAGGGGUGUUAUUUCUAGAAACAAUGUAUAUUAAUAGACGAGAUAACUCACAGAAAAGGAAGGACAGUUGGCCUUGUAAAAAUAUAGGGACAAUUCUAAAAGUAAAUAUAAUAUUACACAUACCUAGAUUAUGGUAAAAGUAAUAAGUAGUGGCAUUUUGAACACUAGAGAAAAAGUUUAAGAAACGUAUGACUUAGUUUUGUUAGGAUUGGAUAUUCUUCCAACUGGAAGACACUUGACUGAUUACAUGUUAUUCUUACAGCAGUUGCUGUAGGGACCAUAAUUUGGCUAUCAUUAUGAAUAUUUUUGUGGCAGGAGGCGAAGUAUUUGAGACAGAAUGUUUACAUAGGGCUGUUAUUUAAAAAAGUAAGAUUUAGUGAUCUUGCUAUAAGAAGAACGUUUGUUGUCAGGAAAUAACCCAUGUGUUAGUGUUUAUGUCCUCAGGAAAAAACAGCACAUAAGAGAUAGAUGGAAAGGCAUGGGCUGAAUUGUGGAGACUGAGUGUACAUCAACAUCAAGAUACACCAGGCUGGGGGUAUACCUCUUACAGCACCUGCAGUGGUCUUAUGUUUAGGAAACCAGAAGGAAAAGGGUUCGUCAGCUUCAACGUCAGUGUGUUGUGUGAUGAGUGAUGGAAGUAAGAGGAUGUAUGGUGUAAUCAUAGAACAGAGGCCAUAAGUCUCUAAGUCUGAAUGCCUCACAGAAAGAAGGCAGAAACCUGAACCAGGACGAGAAGUUCCACGUCUAAUGAUCCAAGGGGACCAGAAGGACCUCUCCCAGUGAUAGCAGGAGAUCUAGUCUACGUUGGAGUGUUCCGGAGGAAGUGGGAUCAACCGAGAAGAGGAGGACCCUACGAGGAGGCCACAGCAACAAACACGGCCGUCCAAGUGAAAGGAAGCAAGACGUGGUACCAUAGUACCAUCUGAAGCACUGCACUCGAUUCCCAACAGAAAGAAGGACACAACCAUAUAGAGAUGAGGACAUGGAGGAUGCUGAUCCACCAGGAAGGAGUCCGGAAGUAGCAGGAACAGCGAAAGCAAUCGAGACGCCAGGGAGGAGCCAAGAGAACAGCAGACCAAGUGAAAGCCAAAAUGCGACAGGUGCAUUGCCUAAUGCACCCAGAAGAAGACGAAGGAGAGACAACACUGGAGAGAGAACCUGCGAACAACCAGAAUUCACUCCUGUGGGGCCAGAGAGUCCAGGGAUGGGAGGGAGUAAAAUGCCUGAUACUCCUGAUGACAUACCUGUUGUGGCAGACCUCUUUGACAGAAGCCCUCCACAGUGGGACCCCGAAGUAUCAGCUACAGAAUGGGAACAUCUCUUCCCUAAAAUUGACACCCUUCCAGAUGGAAGCCCAGUCCGGCCUGAGGAGGGAGCCUCAGGGGAAGAAAGAGGAGGAGAGGCCUCACAAGGAACAGAAGGAGAGACCCCACAAAGAGGAGGAAAAGUCCAGCAAGCUGAAGAAAAUGGGGAUUUCCCCACAAUUGACUUUUCAGCUCUUGAAUUGUCUCCUUAACAGACACUUGAAGUUAGAACCACAGAAGAACAAUGACAUUGACAUAACAGAAGUAACAGUGAACGCUAGUAUAGAAACAACAGACUCACGCACAAUCAAGAUGUAUGGUGGAAACAGGAAGAGAAGAGAGGAACCAGCCAAACAAUCUAGAAAGACUAACAAGGUUAGAAUCUCUGUUCCACCUCAACACAUAACUGAAACAGGAGAACAGAAGACAAAAGGAUCAAACCCUUACCGGAGAUUGCAUUCGGUGGAUGGACACAUCAUCAAACGAAGGGAGAAGUCAUUUGGGACUCAAAAGGAUGUGACCUGACGUUAACCAAAGAAGUAGACGAGUGGGUGCUCACCAUGAAUCAGAUUGAACCAGUUGAAGGUGAAGAAUUAAUAGUUGAAAAUAACGAGAACAAGAUUGACCGAAGGGAGUAGCUCCUCAGUCAUUAGAAUUGGUCUUACGCCAAUACCUAAACAGGAAGAGCCUGUGGUAGCUAGAAAGCAUCAGAACCAGGAGGGUUCUUUACUGACAUUUGGAACUUUUUGACAAACUCUAAUGAUAUACCUCAAGACAAGAACAUUGUAAAAACGACAUCUAUCUCCGGAUCUGAACCACUCAAGGACACCACACGAGAAGAAGUAGUGAAGAAUGAGUGGUACGAAUGGGCUAAGUAUACAGCAGAAAUAAACAAUUGUAUUUUGUGUAGCAGAUCACCUUUGUCUGAUCUUUUGAUAGUACCUGAACCUGCAUCAUUUGAAGAAUGUAUUACAUGUGAAAUGUUCAAUAUUCAGAGAAAAUACUACAUUCCUUUGUGUGACAUAGAAUGUAGGAUUGCUCAAGGGAGCACUAGAGGCAGAACCAUAUUAAAUGAGACUGGGUUGGGAGACAAGGAUUGUGCUGCCUAUGACAUUAGAACUGAAUUAAAUGGACCUCAAUUA